rnacentral:rRNA from 1 species
CCUACGGGAGGCAGCAGUGGGGAAUAUUGCACAAUGGGCGAAAGCCUGAUGCAGCGACGCCGCGUGAGGGAUGACGGCCUACGGGUUGUAAACCUCUUUCAGCAGGGAAGAAGCGAACGUGACGGUACCUGCAGAAGAAGCGCGGGCUAACUACGUGCCAGCAGCCGCGGUAAU